rnacentral:rRNA from 1 species
UACGGAGGGUGCAAGCGUUAUCCGGAUUCACUGGGUUUAAAGGGUGCGUAGGUGGGUCUGUAAGUCAGUUGUGAAAUCUCCAAGCUUAACUUGGAAACUGCCGUUGAUACUAUAGACCUUGAAUGCUGUGGAGGUGAGCGGAAUAUGUCAUGUAGCGGUGAAAUGCUUAGAUAUGACAUAGAACACCAAUUGCGAAGGCAGCUAACUGCACAGAUAUUGACACUGAGGCACGAAAGCGUGGGGAGCAAACAGG